rnacentral:rRNA from 1 species
UACGUAGGUGGCAAGCGUUGUCCGGAAUUACUGGGUGUAAAGGGAGCGUAGGCGGGUACGCAAGUAAAGUGUGAAAUCUAUGGGCUCAACCCAUAGACUGCGCUUUAAACUGUGUAUCUUGAGUGGAGCAGAGGCAGGCGGAAUUCCUAGUGUAGCGGUGAAAUGCGUAGAUAUUAGGAGGAACACCAGUGGCGAAGGCGGCCUGCUGGGCUUUAACUGACGCUGAGGCUCGAAAGUAUGGGUAGCAAACAGGAUUAGAUACCCUGGUAGUCCAUACUGUAAACGAUGAUUACUAGGUGUAGGAGGACUGACCCCUUCUGUGCCGGAGUUAACACAAUAAGUAAUCCACCUGGGGAGUACGAUCGCAAGAUUGAA